rnacentral:rRNA from 1 species
CCUCCCUGGUGCCAAUAGAAGAGACAUUUGUCUACAGCCCAUCUCGUCUAAUCUCUGAAGUUAAGCAGGGUCAGGCCUGGUUAGUACUUGGAUGGGAAAAGAGAUCAUAUUAGAAGUCCAAGA